CUUUUUUUCUCUUUUUCUUGUUACAGAAGCAGAAUCCUCGAGGCCCCCUUCCACUCCGGUCUCUCAAGAUAAGAUGGCAACAGCAAGGGUCAAACUAAACGUACCCAAAGGAGUGAAUCUGGAAGACCCUAAAGUGAGCGAAGCCAUUUUAGAGCAGAUUCGGGAGCACCUCUCCAAGAACUUUCCAAUGGACGGUGUUAAUCUGCGCUGGAGAAAACAAGACGGGGAGAUAUUCCACAAGGAGGAAGAGGAAGAGGAGGAGGAGGAGAAGGAGAAGUACUUCAAGCCGUGAGAUACCAGCGCCCACAAUGACAAGCGUGGGCUUUCAGAGCAGCACUGUCUUAUAUUAAUCUGACAUUAUCUACUGGUUUAUAUUACUCUGACAUUAUCUACUGGUUUAUAUUAAUUUGACAUUAUCUACUGGUUUAUAUUAAUCUGACAUUAUCUACUGGUUUAUAUUACUCUGACAUUAUCUACGGUUUAUAUUACUCUGACAUUAUCUACUGGUUUAUAUUAAUCUGACAUUAUCUACUGGUUUGUAUUACUCUGACAUUAUCUACUGGUUUAUAUUAAUCUGACAUUAUCUACUGGUUUAUAUUACUCUGACAUUAUCUACUGGUGCAGCACUGGUUUAUAUUAAGGUGAUGGGGUGUGUGUUUUAAUUUAAUGAUAAUUUAAAUAUAUAUUCAAUUAUUUAUUGGUGCCGCACAUAUUUAUAUUAAGGUGAGGUGUGUGUGUGUUUUUAAUUUAAUGAUAAUUUAAAUAUAUAUUCAAUUAUUUAUUGGUGCCGCACAUAUUUAUAUUAAGGUGAGGUGUGUGUGUGUUUUUAAUUUAAUGAUAAUUUAAAUAUAUGUUCAAUUAUUUACUGGUGCAGCACAUAUUUAUAUUAAGGUGAGGUGUGUGUGUUUUAAUUUAAUGAUAAUUUAAAUAUAUGUUCAAUUAUUUACUGGUGCAGCACAUAUUUAUAUUAAGGUGAUGGCGUGUGUUUUUAAUUUAAUGAUAAUUUAAAUAUAUAUUCAAUUAUUUACUGGUGCAGCACAUAUUUAUAUUAAGGUGAGGUGUGUGUGUUUUAAUUUAAUGGUAAUUUAAAUAUAUGUUAAAUUAUUUACUGGUGCAGCACAUUUAUAUUAAGGUGCUGGUGUGUGUGUUUUAAUGUAGUAAAUGAUUCUAAUAGAGGUUACAUUAGUUGCUGGUGCAAGUUUCUUUCACCUUGUAAAGAAUAUAUUCAGAGUGGUAACAGAGUAACAGGCCUCUUCACCAUGGCAUGGCAGAGCAUGGAUUUACAGAAUGAAUGUACAACUUGCAGUGUACUAUUAAAUCCCAUAGAGGGCACCACAAACACAUUUACUGAGGGAGGAAGGGAGCAAGCUCCUGUAUAAUGAUACAAUCACCUGGAAGGUCUUGAUGCUGCAGUACAUUACAAACAGCAGCCAGGAUACAGGUGUUGAAUUGCUUAUCAGGAGGACAGGGCUAAGGUAGAUGGCAGAUGAAGGAGAGUUCUCUUUUUCACAUGAUCCUCCAGUGAAAUGACAUGGGCAGCUCUAGCCUGGGUCACUCUGAGCCUCUGUCUGGUAAGUGAGACGAGUUGUCCUAGUGCAGCUCAGCAAGCUGGUCUCUUCCAGUCCAGGUCUGCGUUCCAACCAUGGCUGUGUUUCUACCUGGAGGAAAAGCCCUCCAAGACUGGAGCCUGUCGCAAUGCAAGUGAAGCUGCAGCAUAUACUAGCACUGUGGCGCCCCCUAUGGUCUUUAAAUAGGUCUGCAUUAUCACACAGAAAUAUAUGUGCAGUCUGCAGGGUGCAAUGCAACAUGGGGUGAAGUCAUUAAGGCUAUGAGUAGGGUGGUUUGCUACAGUUUAUGAUUUAAAUGGAAAUGUAAUUUUUUCUGAUAUUUAAUUUACAUUACUGUAAAAUUUACAUUACUGUAAUAAAAAUAACAGGGUCACUGAAAGUUUUAUUUCUCAUUAUAGUGUAUGGGGAGCAGAGGGGAGGGGGGCAAAUCCAUGCAUUCAUGAAACAUGUUCAUCUCAUGCAAACACAUAGAAAUCACACGAGCUGUACCAAAGAAAAUAUGUGAUUCAUGUCAUUGUAUUGUAUGAAGGGUUGUGCAUGAUAAUGAUGCUCUACUACUCUGUAUUUCUGAAUGUAUUUUUGCUAAUUUAUUUCAAUAAAAUUUCAAUCUCAA